GAUGAACGCUGGCGGCGUGCCUAAUACAUGCAAGUCGAGCGAACAGACGAGGAGCUUGCUCCUCUGACGUUAGCGGCGGACGGGUGAGUAACACGUGGAUAACCUACCUAUAAGACUGGGAUAACUUCGGGAAACCGGAGCUAAUACCGGAUAAUAUAUUGAACCGCAUGGUUCAAUAGUGAAAGACGGUUUUGCUGUCACUUAUAGAUGGAUCCGCGCCGCAUUAGCUAGUUGGUAAGGUAACGGCUUACCAAGGCGACGAUGCGUAGCCGACCUGAGAGGGUGAUCGGCCACACUGGAACUGAGACACGGUCCUGACUCCUACGGGAGGCAGCAGUAGGGAAUCUUCCGCAAUGGGCGAAAGCCUGACGGAGCAACGCCGCGUGAGUGAUGAAGGUCUUCGGAUCGUAAAACUCUGUUAUUAGGGAAGAACAAAUGUGUAAGUAACUAUGCACGUCUUGACGGUACCUAAUCAGAAAGCCACGGCUAACUACGUG
rnacentral:rRNA from 1 species